rnacentral:misc_RNA from 1 species
CCUCCUUUCUAAGGAAAUCGAAAAUAAUAUUUUCGAUUUAAAAAAAACCGGUAAUGUGACCGUCCUCAUUUCUCUUCUUUUAAUGUCUCUGACUAAAAAUAAUGUAAGGGGCCGGUAGCUCAGGUGGUUAGAGCGCACCCCUGAUAAGGGUGAGGUCGGAAGUUCGAAUCUUCCUCGGCCCACCAAUAUUAUGGGGGAUUAGCUCAGCUGGGAGAGCGCCUGAUUUGCAUUCAGGAGGUCAGCGGUUCGAUCCCGCUAUCCUCCACCAAAAUUUGAGACAUUUAGCUUUUUUAAAUUGUGAAUAAUUUUAUUAUCAAUAUCUAUAUCCGAUUGUUUUCAUAUAUUUUUUUGAGAACAAUCAAAACAAAAAUUUGAAUUUUACACAGAAAGUUUUUUUCUGUGCAUAAAUCAAGCGUUUAAGGGCGAUUGGCGGAUGCCUUGGCACUGUAAGACAAUGAAGGACGUGGUAUACUGCGAUAAGUUUCGGGGAGUUGUAUGCAAGCUUUGAUCCGAAGAUUCCGAAUGGGGAAACCAAG